rnacentral:rRNA from 1 species
GUGCCAGCCGCCGCGGUAAUACGGAGGGGGCAAACGUUGUUCGGAAUUACUGGGCGUAAAGGGUGAGUAGGCGGUUCGAUAAGUCUUGCGUGAAAUCUCCCGGCUUACCCGGGAAACUGCGCUGGAAACUGUCGAGCUCGAGGAUGGAAGAGGCAGAUGGAAUUCCUGGUGUAGCGGUGGAAUGCGUAGAUAUCAGGAAGAACACUCGUGGCGAAGGCGGUCUGCUGGUCCAUCCCUGACGCUGAAUCACGAAAGCCAGGGGAGCAAACGGGAUUAGAUACCCCCGUAGUCC